rnacentral:rRNA from 1 species
GACGAACGCUGGCGGUGUGCUUAAUACAUGCAAGUCAACUGAACUUAGGAUAGCAAUAUUUUAAGGGAGGUGGCGCACGGGUGAGUAACACGUAGGUAAUCUGCCUUUAGGUCUGACAUAACCUACCGAAAGGUAGGCUAAAAUCAGAUGAUGCAGCGGCUCGACAUCGAGACAGUUGUUAAAUCUUCGGAGCCUAAAGAUGAGCCUGCGUCUGAUUAGGUAGUUGGCGGUGUAAUGGACCACCAAGCCUGCGAUCAGUAGCUGGUCUGAGAGGAUGAUCAGCCACACUGGAACUGAGACACGGUCCAGACUCCUACGGGAGGCAGCAGUAAGGAAUAUUGCUCAAUGGCCGAAAGGCUGAAGCAGCAACGCCGCGUGGAGGAUGAAAUACUUUGUAUGUAAACUCCUGUAAGAAGGGAAAAUGUUCCGAUUCAUCGGAAUUGAUUGUACCUUCAGAGUAA